GUAGGUGGCAAGCGUUGUCCGGAAUUAUUGGGCGUAAAGCGCGCGCAGGCGGUCCUUUAAGUCUGAUGUGAAAGCCCACGGCUCAACCGUGGAGGGUCAUUGGAAACUGGGGGACUUGAGUACAGAAGAGGAAAGCGGAAUUCCAAGCGUAGCGGUGAAAUGCGUAGAGAUUUGGAGGAACACCAGUGGCGAAGGCGGCUUUCUGGUCUGUAACUGACGCUGAGGCGCGAAAGCGUGGGGAGCAAACAGGGAUUAGAUACCCUGGUAGUCCACGCCGUAAACGAUGAGUGCUAAGUGUUAGGGGGUUUCCCGCCCCUUAGUGCUGCAGCUAACGCAUUAAGCACUCCGCCUGGGGAUACGGCCGCAAGGCUG
rnacentral:rRNA from 1 species